UACGUAGGGUGCAAGCGUUGUCCGGAAUUAUUGGGCGUAAAGAGCUCGUAGGCGGUUCGUCGCGUCGGCUGUGAAAACCUGAGGCUCAACCUCAGGCCUGCAGUCGAUACGGGCGGACUUGAGUACUGCAGGGGAGACUGGAAUUCCUGGUGUAGCGGUGAAAUGCGCAGAUAUCGGGAGGAACACCGGUGGCGAAGGCGGUUCUCUGGGCCUGUACUGACGCUGAGGAGCGAAGCGUGGGG
rnacentral:rRNA from 1 species